rnacentral:lncRNA from 1 species
UCUGGGAUAUUUGGAGAAGCAAGGGUAUGCUUUUGGUAGCCAACUGAGCAAUGGGUGUUUGAAGAUAUCAAAGGAGGCUUUAGUGGUGAUGAAAGAGAGAAGACUGAGAAAUAAUUUGUAUAGGAUGAAGGGCUCAGUAGUUAUAGAUAGUGCAGAGGUGUCUGCAGCAGCACAGGAGGAGCAGCUUGCCUACCAGCUGUGGUACUAUCGUAUGGAUCACAUG